GGAUGUGAGGGCGAUCUGGCUGCAACAUCUGUCGCCCCAUUGAUCACCAGGUUGAUUCAGCUGAUCUGGCUGGCUAGAUGGGUGUCCCCUUCCUCCCUCACUGCUCUAUAUGUGUCCUCCCAAAGCUGUGCGCUCAGUUGAAUAGGAUGACCAUCCCCGAUAGAUGAGGACCGGUCUUCAGUCAAGGGCAUAUGCACAGCUGCCCUCCCCUGCUAGACCCUCCCAACAAGCUCUCAAGACUGCUGUCUACCAAUCUGUAUCCAGAAUUGGAAAAAAGCAAGAAAAAAAAAAAAAAAAGACUUGUCCCAGUGUGUUCCUCACCAAGUUAUAAAUUAGUUUUCAUUU
rnacentral:snRNA from 1 species